GACGAACGCUGGCGGCGUGCUUAACACAUGCAGGUCGAACGGAAAGGCCCUGCUUGCAGGGUGCUCGAGUGGCGAACGGGUGAGUAACACGUGGGUGAUCUGCCCCUUACUUUGGGAUAAGCCUGGGAAACUGGGUCUAAUACUGGAUAGGACCAUGCUGUAGGUGGUGUGGUGGAAAGAUUAGUUUCGGUAAGGGAUGAGCUCGCGGCCUAUCAGCUUGUUGGUGGGGUAAUGGCCUACCAAGGCGUCGACGGGUAGCCGGCCUGAGAGGGUGGACGGCCACAUUGGGACUGAGAUACGGCCCAGACUCCUACAGGAGGCAGCAGUGGGGAAUAUUGCACAAUGGGCGCAAGCCUGAUGCAGCGACGCCGCGUGGGGGAUGACGGCCUUCGGGUUGUAAACUCCUUUCAGCCAUGACGAAGCCUUCGGGUGACGGUAGUGGUAGAAGAAGCACCGGCUAACUACGUG
rnacentral:rRNA from 1 species